rnacentral:misc_RNA from 1 species
GCUUGAUCUUCAUGCGCAUUGGACGGUUGAUGAUGAUGCCGAAGGGUCCGUCUCCCGGGUCCUUGGUGCCCAGUCGGAGGAGGAGGACAACGGUUCUCUCGAAAGUCUGGGAUCCGUCUAGCUUCUCAGAGGCGAGCAACACGCAACCGAUUUCCGGUGAGGAAAUAGGAUGCGCCCACUGUAAACCGAGUCUUGGGGAUGGCUUAUGAGAGGAAGGGUCCUGGACUGGAGCAUCAGAAUCUACCUGUUGCACCUGCUGUUGAGCCACAAGCUUUGCCCUGAAUUCUCUCCAAUCUAAAAACGCAUAGCG